UGAGUGGCGGACGGGUGAGUAACGCGUGGGUAGCCUGCCUCAUACAGGGGGAUAACAGUUGGAAACGACUGCUAAUACCGCAUAAGCGCACAGGGUCGCAUGACCUGGUGUGAAAAACUCCGGUGGUAUGAGAUGGACCCGCGUCUGAUUAGCCAGUUGGUGGGGUAACGGCCUACCAAAGCGACGAUCAGUAGCCGACCUGAGAGGGUGACCGGCCACAUUGGGACUGAGACACGGCCCAAACUCCUACGGGAGGCAGCAGUGGGGAAUAUUGCACAAUGGGGGAAACCCUGAUGCAGCGACGCCGCGUGAGCGAAGAAGUAUUUCGGUAUGUAAAGCUCUAUCAGCAGGGAAGAAGAAAUGACGGUACCUGACUAAGAAGCACCGGCUAAAUACGUGCCAGCAGCCGCGGUAAUACGUAUGGUGCAAGCGUUAUCCGGAUUUACUGGGUGUAAAGGGAGCGCAGGCGGUACGGCAAGUCUGAUGUGAAAGCCCGGGGCUCAACCCCGGUACUGCAUUGGAAACUGUCGGACUAGAGUGUCGGAGGGGUAAGUGGAAUUCCUAGCGUAGCGGUGAAGUGCGUAGAUAUUAGGAGGAACACCAGUGGCGAAGGCGGCUUACUGGACGAUUACUGACGCUGAGGCUCGAAAGCGUGGGGAGCAAACAGGAUUAGAUACCCUGGUAGUCCACGCCGUAAA
rnacentral:rRNA from 1 species